rnacentral:rRNA from 1 species
CCUACGGGAGGCAGCAGUGGGGAAUAUUGCGCAAUGGGCGAAAGCCUGACGCAGCGACGCCGCGUGAGGGAUGAAGGUCUUCGGAUCGUAAACCUCUGUCAGUAGGGAAGAACGGUCACUGUGCUAAUCAGCAGUGAAUUGACGGUACCUGCAAAGGACGCACCGGCUAACUCCGUGCCAGCAGCCGCGGUAAUACGGAGGGUGCGAGCGUUAAUCGGAAUUACUGGGCGUAAAGCGCUCGUAGGCGGUAUGUCAAGUCAAGGGUGAAAUGCCCGGGCUCAACGUGGGAACUGCCUUUGAAACUGGCAAACUGGAGUGUGUGGAAGGAUAGUGGAAUUCCAGGUGUAGGAGUGAAAUCCGUAGAUAUCUGGAGGAACAUCAGUGGCGAAGGCGACUAUCUGGCACAUAACUGACGCUGAGGAGCGAAAGCGUGGGUAGCAAACAGGAUUAGAUACCCUGGUAGUC